AUUGAACGCUGGCGGCAUGCUUUACACAUGCAAGUCGAACGGCAGCGCGGGCUUCGGCCUGGCGGCGAGUGGCGAACGGGUGAGUAAUACAUCGGAACGUGCCCAGUAGUGGGGGAUAGCUCGGCGAAAGCCGGAUUAAUACCGCAUACGACCUGAGGGUGAAAGCGGGGGAUCUUCGGACCUAGCGCUAUUGGAGCGGCCGAUGGCAGAUUAGCGAGUUGGGGGGGUAAAGGCCUACCAAGGCGACGAUCUGUAGCUGGUCUGAGAGGCCGACCAGCCACACUGGGACUGAGACACGGCCCAGACUCCUACGGGAGGCAGCAGUGGGGAAUUUUGGACAAUGGGCGAAAGCCUGAUCCAGCAAUGCCGCGUGUGUGAUGAAGGCCUUCGGGUUGUAAAGCACUUUUGGCGGGAACGAAAAGGACUGUGCCAAUACCACGGUUCGAUGACGGUACCCGCAGAAUAAGCACCGGCUAACUACGUG
rnacentral:rRNA from 1 species